GAGGGUUUAGCUCAGUGGUGUAAGCACCUGCCUUGCAAGCAUGAGAUCCUGAGUUCGAUCCCUGGGUACCCCCC
rfam:Cavia porcellus supercont2_17 genomic scaffold, whole genome shotgun sequence.